GACGAACGCUGGCGGCGUGCUUAACACAUGCAAGUCGAACGGAAAGGCCCUGCUUUUGUGGGGUGCUCGAGUGGCGAACGGGUGAGUAACACGUGAGUAACCUGCCCUUGACUUUGGGAUAACUUCAGGAAACUGGGGCUAAUACCGGAUAGGAGCUCCUGCUGCAUGGUGGGGGUUGGAAAGUUUCGGCGGUUGGGGAUGGACUCGCGGCUUAUCAGCUUGUAGGUGGGGUAGUGGCUUACCAAGGCUUUGACGGGUAGCCGGCCUGAGAGGGUGACCGGCCACAUUGGGACUGAGAUACGGCCCAGACUCCUACGGAAGGCAGCAGUGGGGAAUAUUGCACAAUGGGCGGAAGCCUGAUGCAGCAACGCCGCGUGCGGGAUGACGGCCUUCGGGUUGUAAACCGCUUUCGCCUGUGACGAAGCGUGAGUGACGGUAAUGGGUAAAGAAGCACCGGCUAACUACGUG
rnacentral:rRNA from 1 species